rnacentral:rRNA from 1 species
UACGGAGGAUCCAAGCGUUAUCCGGAUUCAUUGGGUUUAAAGGGUGCGUAGACGGCCUGAUAAGUCAGCGGUGAAAUCUCUCGGCUUAACCGGGGAACUGCGUCCGAUACUGGAGGGCUUGAGUGUGGGAGAGGGAUGCGGAAUUCCACGUGUAGCAGUGAAAUGCGUAGAGAUGUGGAGGAACACCGAUGGCGAAGGCAGCCUCCUGGGAUGACACUGACGCUCAUACACGAAAGCGUGGGGAGCAAACGGG